UGAUAGUUGCUAACGAGAUGGGUCUGU
rnacentral:sRNA from 1 species